CCCCACAUGCCCAUUUUAAAACAUUUCCUGCCGAAACCCUCUCUUUUAAGUAACGUGUGUUGCAUUGAGAGUUGAGAGACUCGAACGCACGGCUAAAACCGCCAGCGAAUUCCACCUCCCGUCCUCGCUGUUCUCUGAAAUCACAAAUCCUAUAUUUUUAGCUCUUCCUCACCACUCUCUUUCUCUCUUCGUUCGAUCCUCUGUAGGCCUUUUCGGAUCUUCGAAUUAGAGCUUGGAUUGGAGAGAGAUGGGUAGCCCUAAGAAGAACCAGAGUAAGGGCCUCUUCGCCGCCAUGACUUCUGGCUUGUCCAUGUUCGGCAACGCCAUGCACCGAUCCGUCAACGGGUUGCUUGGUUAUGAAGGGGUGGAAGUGAUAAAUCCAGACGGAGGCAAAGAAGAUGCAGUGGAAGAAGCUCAGAGAGGAAGAUGGAAACAGGAGAACACGUGUGUCUCUUAAAAGAGAUGGUGUGGUCUUAGAUUUGGUGCCACCUCCUACAAAGGUUAAUAACCUGAUUUUUGGCCGUACUUGGGUAGAUUCACCAGGGGAGAUGAUUAUGACAAAUUUGACUACAGGAGACAAAGCCGUUCUAUACUUUCAGCCAUGUGGCUGGUUUGGAGCUGGUCGCUAUGAAGUGGAUGGAUACGUGUAUAAUGCUGCUGAGGAACCUAAAAUAUUGAUGACUGGGAAAUGGAAUGAGUCAAUAAGUUAUCAACCAUGUGACAUGGAAGGGGAGCCUCUUCCAGGCACAGAACUGAAAGAGUGGGCUCCACCAUUAUGGGACAGAAGUCAGUGGCAAUUUUGCAACUUAUUAUUGGGCGAAAGGAGUAUUGAUUGCUUAAUACCUAAAAAGUGUUGUCAACAGCUGAAAAAAAUUGAACUAACUCCACAGAAUAGGAGGGAGCCUCUCUCAUCUUAAGUCUGAAAAAAAUUGUACAUUUUGGUAAAAUGGGAUUUAAUCCCAGGUGUCCUUGUAAAACUUCGUGUGACUUUACAAAUUGAACUAGCUGGCACCUUUGAUGAAGUUGACUUUAGAUAAUGAGGACUGUGAAUUGGUUGCGGGUGCUCAUAUAAAUCUGCAUUGGUUAUAUACGUUCUUCUAAAUGACUGGUUUGGCAUCUCGCUGAUGUUCCAGAGAAAGACAAAUUUCAAUGCACAUAUUUUGCACAUAAAAUAAAGGGAUAAUUUCACAAAAGGGUACCCAACUAUACCGCUUUUUCACUUAAGGGUACCAAUGUAGCA